rnacentral:lncRNA from 1 species
UAUAGAAAGGCACAAGAGGAUUGCUUUAAAAGUCAACUUUUAAUCAUGACCGUAAGAAUGAACAUUAAUGUUUCAACAAUACAUUGACUUAAAAGACUGGUUUUGAAGAGAUGUAGGUCAAGAUUUAACCACUCGCUGUAGAAUAUUUUGUAGUUACGAUCUAAAAGUGCCGAAUUUGAGCAACUAAAUGGGCCGCAGGUAACAUUGCACUUUCCAGAUACGAACUCAUCGUACUCCCUCUAGUGAACUGUACCUGCUUGAAGAUGAUGUGAACGUGAAUGAAAAUUUCACAUAAACAAGAUAUAAAUGUUUAAAGACUUACAGCAUCCACCGCUCCACAUCGAAGAGAAGAAGCCGUUGCCAGGAUAGUAAUCAUCUCUUGACAAUGGUGAGGGCUUUACUAACAAGUCUCCGAAUGUAGAUUGAAUGAGCAGAGGCCUGUUCUUCCUCAAUGAUACGGGAAGCAGUCUUGAGUUUUCCACAAUUUCAAUCCUUCUGUUAUUAACGACUGAAAAACACUGCACUAGUUGUCGAACUUUCAUUCAAUAAUUACACUCAUCAUUGUUAUGAAUAGGACCAACAACAGUCGUAUCAUCAGCAAAGUUGAUAAUAUGACAAUCUAGCUUUUUUCCUGAGGAAAGGCGGGUGUGUAGAAUUGGCUGUAAAAGUAGGGGUCUAUACGCUUAUACUGGAUGUGAGCUUAUACCUGAGGAAGUACACUAACAGAAAAAUUCUCACCAAUUGACCACCUGUAUUAUGUAUUUAAUAUAUUCUUUGCGUAGAACAGUAGUAAUGUAAUGUGGUUGGAUUUAUAUAGCGCUUUAUACCGAAGCCUCAAAGCGCUCGAGGUGUGGACUACAGUAGCGCAGUAACAUUCUUCUUCCCAUAAGGGUCUCUUUGUGUCUGAGCUACCUGGUAAACCGGUACCAGCUAUCUCUCAUCUGUCCACAAGCUGUAUGAACCAGUACACCGGGGUAAUCCCCUAUUCGUCUCGAAAGAUGUACUGGGUUCUUUGUAGUGCACACGAGCCAUUGUGUACACUGGGCCUACGGUUUAUAGUUCUUAUCCAAGAAGACUUGUUCCACCACCAGCACCAUGGGCGAGCAUGCUCAUUGGAACCAGCACCAUGGGCGAGCGUGCCGUUGGAACCAGCACCGAUAUUAUGGCUGUAGGUUGCUGCGCCCCUGACUUAAGUGGUCGACCGUCCAAAAGUCAAAUGUCUAUAAAUUAUCAUCAUUGUUUAAAUUUUUCCUUUAUUUUUUUAACUUGACUUGUAGUGCCGUAUAUCUUUAAAUUUAACUAUGUUAUUUAUGACAUCUUUACAUCUUUUAGGAAGACAAUAAUAAUUAAAAAAACACUUGUGUUCAACCUGUUCAUAUAAAUUAUUCCUUUGAUAUUUUCCUACCAGCGCUGAUUUCUAAAAUUUGUCUUUUAUCAAGGCCAACAAGUUUAAUUGAUUUCUCUCCUCAAAUAUUUCAACAUCCCAUAUUUGUGCAAUGUAAUUAUAAUUGGUAUGGACAAGCAAUUCACUGUGAUACCCUUUGAUCUUCAUUUAAAUUAUUUGAAGAUUAAAAUGUUGGCAUAUCACCCAAAGACUUCUGUCCUCUCCAUAUUUUUACCAAUACACUUUGAUAUGUCAUGCAAUAGGAACAGAUAUAAUAUGCUUAAUCAUCUUCUAGUCUUUGAUGGCUGUUUUAAAAGUGUUCAUUCUUAUCCAACUUUCUGACCUCAGAUUUAAUAGCAUUAAAGUAAACAUCAGAAAAACAAAACACAUAGAAAAAUUAUAAUAUUUUUCUCUUUGAAAAUCUGAUAACUAAAUGGUUUUUACAUGUUUUGUAAACUUUUUGUAGGUUUUUAUAAUCUUUAAGUCAGGUCUAAUGGUAUAUGGUAAAAAUUUGAAAAAGUGCAAUAGUAAUUACCAGCAGUGUAAAGAAAGGAAACGUUAUUUCGUUGUUUAUCAUAGAUGUUGUUUACCAACUUAAAAUAAUUUUACAGUUGAUUAAGUAUACUCAGUAGUUAACUAAUAUUUCUUUUCGAAAAUUACAAGUUUUGUGCGCGCUUGUGACGUAUACAAUUAGAUUUAUGAUGACAUCUCAAGUGCAUUGCUCAAUCCAGGUUUAGCAAGAGGCCAUUGUAUUGGAAAGAAUUAGGAUAAAUUCUAAGAUGAGUGCUUCAUUUUACUACUGUACUUGUACUUGUAUAAUAUAGAAUGGCAACUCCUUUAAAAUGGAAAAUUAAUAUAUUAAAAAAUAAUGGGUCAUUCAAUUUGGUAUUUAAUUUCAAUUUUACUUUUCUAAUUUUAAUUCUGUUCAGUUAGUCAUCAAUGCCUGUACAGCAUCUGGAUGAGUUCACAACGGCAGGGGCUGCGAGAUGGAGCAGUACGCCGGGGUAACCCCCCUACUCGUCUCGACAGAUGUACCGGGUUCCUUAUAGUGCACAUGAGCCAAUUAUGUUCACUCAUGGGCCUACGGUUAUAGUCCUUAUGCAAGAAGACUUGUUCCACCUCCAGAACCAUAGGGGAGUGUUCCGUUCGAACCAGUGGUAAUGGCUGUAAGAUCCGGCACUCUUGCCUUAACUGCUCGGCCAUUUAACUCGCCUUUUGAUACUAGUUGAAUUGAUUAAUAUUUUUUAUGUUAAGUUCUCUGAUGAUAACGAAGGUGGAAGACCUCAGCAAGAUGUUUGUUUGGUUAUCAAAGUUAAAGAGGGUUUCAUAGUGCAUGUCAAUGAAUGUUGUUUAUUUUCAAUGACUACAAGCUCAGGUCAUUGUCCCUUUUACUAUCCUAUUGCAUUAUGAGCCACAAAAAAUCUAGUACAUGGUCAAUGCUGUUUAUUUCACCUGGUGCCCUAUUUCUAGUAUAUAUGUACUGAUAUUGAUUCUGAUAACCUGAAUACAAUUUUUUGAUAAUAUAUGAAAAAAAUAGUCUCAAAUAUACCAUAGUUAAUGUAAAAAUAGCAUAAUAUACUAUUUAAUAGUAUAUUGUAAUGUUAUGUUUUGUUAUUUACAAUGACAUCGUGUGUCAUCAGAUUUACCUCUAACGUUAUUUUUCCAUUGUAAAACGCUCAUUAGUUUCUGAUA